CCUCGAGAGGUUGUUACGCUCAAUAAUUAUUUUUGUUUCUUCGCUAUGCCGACUCUGUGUGCUCUAAUUGGAUGCAGGCGCAACUCUAUUCAAGACAAGGGGACUUAAGUUCUUUAGAAUUCCAGCAAUUAUAAAUAAUCAAGGAGAAAAAACAGAGAGUUGUCCACGGAGCGUAGACGUCACUGGCUGUCCAACAUUAACUGGGCUGAUUGAAAUGAUGAGAAAGCAAAAACCACACGAGGCUGCAGUGAACAUUUUAUCAAUGGGAAAGAAACCAGCUGAUCUCUACAAUUUUACAGAUCCAGACUGGGCACCAACACAAAAUAUGAGCCACAACAAAAUCAAAGAUGGUACUAAAGCAGUAGCUUGAAAUGCAAGGCUUACAGAGCGCAGAAAGAAACACAAAAUUAUUGAAGAAUCUUCCCAAAUGAUCACCGAGUCAAUCGAACAAGGUUCAUGUCAAUCCUCAACCUGAAAUACUGCAGCCGCGUCGCCCGUUUUGGUCACAUGGUUGCAAACAAAGAACUGAUAGAGAAGAGUCUUUCUGUAACCAUCCAAUGAGCCCUCAAGGAACCCUGUUUCAAAUUCAACAUUUGCUGGGAUUCAGUCUGGAUUUCUGAUGAACGACAAACAAAGGAAACACCUUCUCAGCUCAGAGCUCCUACUCAGAAAUUCAAGAAGGUCUCUUCAACUCUGAGAUCACCAAGUGGUGUCAAAUCAACAUGGCUGCUCACAGCAUGAACAGUAAACAAGGUCGCACUGAGUACAUCAUCUUCCCAGUCAGCUUGUUAGAUUGUUCCUAACAGACAAUGAACAUGGAGGCGUCCAUUAACUUUUAGUAAAAAUGUAAAUUUACAUACAUAUGAAAUGAAACCAGGUGCAGAUGAACAUGUAGCUUUCUUUUUGGGAAUUGAUGUCAUUACAUUAUUACUAGUCCCAAUAAAAGGUCAUGGAAC